AAUCAACGCUGGCGGCGUGCCUAACACAUGCAAGUCGAACGCGAAAGGGGCUUCGGCCCUGAGUAGAGUGGCGAACGGGUGAGUAACACGUGGGUGAUCUACCUUCGAGCGGGGGAUAACGUUCCGAAAGGAGCGCUAAUACCGCAUGAUGUUCUGGGUUUGAAGACCUGGAAACCAAAGCCGGGGACCGCAAGGCCUGGCACUCGAAGAGGAGCCCGCGUCCGAUUAGCUAGUUGGCGGGGUAAUGGCCCACCAAGGCGACGAUCGGUAGCCGGCCUGAGAGGGCGGACGGCCACACUGGGACUGAGACACGGCCCAGACUCCUACGGGAGGCAGCAGUGGGGAAUUGUUCGCAAUGGGCGCAAGCCUGACGACGCAACGCCGCGUGGAGGAUGAAGGUCUUCGGAUUGUAAACUCCUGUUGACGGGGAAGAAUGGCCCUUGGGUGAAUAAUCCAGGGGAAUGACGGUACCCGUUGAGGAAGCCACGGCUAACUCUGUGCCAGCAGCCGCGGUAAUACAGAGGUGGCAAGCGUUGUUCGGAAUUACUGGGCGUAAAGGACGCGUAGGCGGCCGCCUAAGUCAGACGUGAAAUCCCCCGGCUUAACCUGGGAACUGCGUCUGAUACUGGGUGGCUUGAGUUCGGGAGAGGGAUGCGGAAUUCCAGGUGUAGCGGUGAAAUGCGUAGAUAUCUGGAGGAACACCGGUGGCGAAGGCGGCAUCCUGGACCGAUACUGACGCUGAGGCGCGAAAGCUAGGGGAGCAAACGGGAUUAGAUACCCCGGUAGUCCUAGCCCUAAACGAUGAGUGCUUGGUGUGGCGGGUAUCGAUCCCUGCCGUGCCGAAGCUAACGCAUUAAGCACUCCGCCUGGGGAGUACGGUCGCAAGGCUGAAACUCAAAUGAAUUGACGGGG
rnacentral:rRNA from 1 species